rnacentral:rRNA from 1 species
AUUAACUUACAUCUAGACCGCCAGGGAAUUACGAGCAAUGCUUAAAACCCAAAGGAUUUGACGGUGUCCCACCCCACUAGAGGAGCCUGUUCUAUAAUCGAUGAUCCCCGCUUCACCUAACCAUCCCUCGCUCAUCAGUCUGUAUACCUCCGUCGAAAGCUUACCAUGUGAACGCCCGCAGUAGGCUUAAUGAUUUCCCAUCAAUACGUCAGGUCAAGGUGCAACUUAAGGAAUGGCAAGUAAUGGGCUACAAUUUCUAACCUAGAACAAACGAAAGACUAUGUGAAAUCCUAGUCAUGAAGGUGGAUUUAGUAGUAAAAAGAAACUAGAGUGUUCUUUUUAACUCGGCUCUGGGACGCGUACACACCGCCCGUCACCCUCUUCGAUAGUAUAAUAUAUGUCCCUAACCCAUUACCACAUUUUAGAAGAGGCAAGUCGUAACAUGGUAAGUGUACUGGAAAGUGCACUUGGUAUAUCACAAAAUGUAGCUUAACAAAAGCCCCUCGCUUACACCUAGGAAAUAUCUGUUUAACUCGGAUCAUUUUGAGCCUAAAAUCUAGCCCACAAACUCGCAUGACCUCCCCACCCCAAGAAAAGAAAAGAAAACAAAACAUUUUAACAUCUUAGUACAGGCGAUCAAAAAAGUUCUAAGCGCUUCAGACAAAGUACCGCAAGGGAAUAAUGAAAUAGAAAUGAAAUAACCCUAAAGCCCCAAACAGCAGAGACACCACCUCG